rnacentral:snRNA from 1 species
ACACUUACCUGGCAGGAGAGGCACUGUUGCCACGAAGGUGGUUUUCCAAGGGCAAGGUAUAUCCGUUGCACUCUGGAUGUGUUGACCCCUGAGAUUUCCUGAAAUGUGGAAAGCUUUAUUGCAUAAUUUGUGGUAGUGUGGGACUGCAUUUGCACGCUUCCC